UACGUAGGGGGCAAGCGUUGUCCGGAAUCAUUGGGCGUAAAGAGCGUGUAGGCGGUUCGAUAAGUCUGCUGUGAAAGUCCAGGGCUCAACUCUGGAACGCCGAUGGAUACUGCCGGGCUAGAGUCCGGAAGAGGCGAGUGGAAUUCCUGGUGUAGCGGUGGAAUGCGCAGAUAUCAGGAGGAACACCAAUAGCGAAGGCAGCUCGCUGGGACGAUACUGACGCUGAGGCGCGAAAGCGUGGGGAGCGAACAGG
rnacentral:rRNA from 1 species